CGGCACCAAGUCACCAGACCACCACCCCUCUUCUCACUGUUCAUGGCCUUUUAAAAGCCUUAAACCUAAUUAGAACCUUAUCAGGAGUUCUAAUCAGGCCCAUCAAGCUUCCCGCCAUUGGAUCAACAUCAAGAACUAUCCACACCCUCCGAUCAUGCAUCAGUCUAUGGAAUAGUAUUGUGGACCGUGCGAAAUACGUGAGAAACACCCAUGUGGUCCACACGCCCGGCUGUGGACCACCUGAUCCACCAUGGACUAG
rnacentral:lncRNA from 1 species